GAUGAACGCUGGCGGCGUGCCUAAUACAUGCAAGUCGAGCGAACAGAUGAGGAGCUUGCUCCUCUGACGUUAGCGGCGGACGGGUGAGUAACACGUGGAUAACCUACCUACAAGACUGGGAUAACUUCGGGAAACCGGAGCUAAUACCGGAUAAUAUAUUGAACCGCAUGGUUCAAUAGUGAAAGACGGUUUUGCUGUCACUUAUAGAUGGAUCCGCGCCGCAUUAGCUAGUUGGUAAGGUAACGGCUUACCAAGGCAACGAUGCGUAGCCGACCUGAGAGAGUGAUCGGACACACUGGAACUGAGACACGGUCCAGACUCCUACGGGAGGACGCAGUAGGGAAUCUUCCGCAAUAGGCGAAAGCCUGACGGAGCAACGCCGCGUGAGUGAUGAAGGUCUUCGGAUCGUAAAACUCUGUUAUUAGGGAAGAACAAAUGUGUAAGUAACUAUGCACGUCUUGACGGUACCUAAUCAAAAAGCCACGGCUAACUACGUG
rnacentral:rRNA from 1 species